rnacentral:rRNA from 1 species
CAGUCGCCACGGUAAUACGCAGGUGGCAAGCGUUGUCCGGAAUUAUUGGGCGUAAAGCGCGCGCAGGUGGUUUAAUAAGUCUGAUGUGAAAGCCCACGGCUCAACCGUGGAGGGCCAUUGGGAACUGUUAAACUUGAGUGCAGGAGAGAAAAGUGGAAUUCCUAGUGUAGCGGUGAAAUGCGUAGAGAUUAGGAGGAACACCAGUGGCGAAGGCGGCUUUUUGGCCUGUAACUGACACUGAGGCGCGAAAGCGUGGGGAGCAAACAGGAUUAGAGACCCCCGUAGUCCCUGUCUCUUAUAC